AACGACGCGUCGCGGUGGGGCUCUGUCCGGAAGCGCGCCAGCGAUUGGUGGAGGGGACGCGGCUGCCCGCGGAUUGGCCAACGCAGCGGGGACGGGCCAGCGCACGCGCCUAAGGGGCGGAGCCGCGGCGCCAUGGGUAGUAACAAGAUGUCGGCUGCGGUACCGGAGCUGAAGCAGAUCAGCCGGGUGGAGGCGAUGCGCUUGGGGCCGGGCUGGAGCCACUCGUGCCACGCCAUGCUGUACGCCGCUAACCCCGGGCAGCUUUUCGGCCGCAUCCCCAUGCGCUUCUCGGUGCUGAUGCAGAUGCGCUUCGAUGGGCUGCUGGGCUUCCCCGGGGGCUUCGUGGACCGGCGCUUCUGGUCGUUGGAGGACGGACUGAACCGGGUGCUGGGCCUGGGCCUGGGCUGCCUGCGCCUCACCGAGGCCGACUACCUGAGCUCGCACCUGACCGAGGGCCCGCACCGCGUCGUGGCCCACCUGUACGCGCGGCAGCUGACGCUGGAGCAGCUGCACGCCGUGGAGAUCAGCGCGGUUCAUUCGCGCGACCACGGCCUGGAGGUGGGGCCGCCGCCCGGGGCCCGCCCCCCACCCCGGGGUUUGGCUCUGGCCCUGCGGAAGGCACCGAUGGGUGCUGGGAUUGGUGCGGGUCCCACUAUACACCCAGAAGGACCGAGUCGGUGGCUUUCCCAACUUCCUGAGCAAUGCCUUCAUCAGCACGGCUAAGUACCAGCUCCUCUUCGCCCUCAAGGUGCUCAACAUGAUGCCUGAGGAAAAGCUGGCUGAGGCUGUGGCUGCAGCCACCGAGAAGCAGAAGAAGGCCCUGGAGAAGCUGCUCCCAUCUUCUUCCUGAGUAUGAUCUACAGGCAGCUCCCAGAGAUGGUCUGGAAAUAACCGUCAAGUGUGCAGAAUGACAACAGCAGAGCCACCACCGGCAGGAAGGUCACCACUGGCAGUCUCCUAUGGCCCCAAGUCUGGCUCAACUCAGUGAAGCUACUGGAAAGUUUCCACAGUGCCUCCCCAGCCUAAGAAAAGCGGUGCUGCCUGCCCAGCACGGGCAUCUGUGCCACCUUAGAGCCUGAUGAAGCAGCCACACUGGGCAAAGGCACUCCACUCUGUAAAUAAAAUACCUGUACUUUG